GGGGUUGGUUUUAGGUUGUACUGAAGGAAAAUUUAGUUCUUACAUUGUUUAGAGAUGAGUAUGUACUAUUGCAUGAGGAUUAUCAAUUAUAUGUGUUGCCACGGAUGUUGGAGUCAAAGAAGAUGGCAAAAUCUGGACGUACAAAGCAAAAAGAAGCAGAUCUGGAGUAUAUUGUUGCAAAGCAAGUUGAGAAAAUGAUAAGCGAAGUGCAUGAACAAGCAUUAUUCUCUUGUGAUGCCAUACAC